rnacentral:rRNA from 1 species
GUCCUAGCCGUAAACGAUGGUCACUGGGUGUGGGUCCUUUACUGGGCCCGUGCCGAAGUUAACGCAUUAAGUGACCCGCCUGGGGAGUACGGUCGCAAGUCUGAAACUCAAAGGAAUUGACGGGGCCCGCACAAGCGGUGGAGCAUGUGGUUCAAUUCGACGCAACGCGAAGAACCUUACCUGGGCUCGAAAUGCAGGGGAAGUCAGCAGAGAUGUUGACGUCUGGCAACAGACUCUUGCAUAGGUGCUGCAUGGCUGUCGU